GUGUUUUUGGUCUGCAACACGCUCCCUUUAAAAAGCAUCAGAGUAACUAGCAUUUCCUUGCUGAGAACCCCGAUUUCAGUAGAUCAGAAGAAAGAAUUCAUCAGCCUAUCCAAACAACUUCUCUGGAGCAGCUUUCUAUCCAACCACGCCGGGCACCAAGAGACAAGUGAGCUGGGGGUGGGGGGUGGGGGGGUGGUAAGAACUGACAACAGGCUUAUCUGCAUAGAUGAACGACAUGCAGACAUUUGUCGUCUUCUGUUUUGGCGACUCUUGGCACUUCUGGCACCGGUCUGGCAAAUCUAACCCCGGCAUUCUCCCUGUCUGGUGUCCCCACACUCCCACCCCCCGCCCCAGUUGCUGAAGCGUCACGUUCUCGGGGCUGGGGGAGAGAAGCCGGGGGAACGCACAAGUCUGUUACUGCAUUUAGGCUGGAACCAUACCGCACCUGUUCAAUCCGGCUCCCGAGCCAGAAAUGACCAGAACACCGACUCGCAAGACCCUCUGUGAGAUCCCAGGGACGCCUAACAAGUUCGCCGCUGUUUAAUACCGGGGGACGGUGAUGGGAGACCUCUCUUUCUGCAGCGAAACUCAGAUGGAAACACUGGACUCAGAGAAGUAACAAGCUCAAGGUCACGCAGCUGGUCUUCUGAGACAAUGUGCAGAACAUACCUUAGAACUGUGGCACUAACUCUCCAGCUGUUCCAGCCUGCUAUGCCUCGGGGGCAAGUUUGUUCCUGUAGCCAAGAAAGCCCGCAGGUAUAAGGAACAGGUGUUUGAGAAGGCUUCCAGGGACUAAGGUCCCCAACCAGGUGGAGCCUGGAAACUACAGGCUAAGACCCCAGACUGGUCAGAACCUAAGGAACAAUGAUGUUGACCUCUUCUGACCCUCACGACUUCCAUCAACUAAAGCUUGGACUCUGAACAUGACUACUCCCUCAUGGUCCAAGAGCUACUACUAGAGCCCCAGCCAUCACCUUUGCAUUCAAAGCAGCAGGAAGAAGGAAUGGAUAAAAAAAUGAAAGUCUCUUCCCUUUAUGGAUACUUUAUAGAAGUUGCACAUGAUGUUUCUAAUUUCAUCUGUAUCUAUCAGACUUCAAGUGAUUCUAAGUGUUAUGGGAAAAAGAAUUUAUUAUGGAAAAAUAGACCCUACAGUUUGGGAGAAGAUGCAGAAAGUUGGAGGGUCAGAGGAGGCAUCACCAACUGGUCAUUCUGAGAAGCCAAACACAUUGAGCUGCUGAAGGGGCUGGGAAGGGGGAACACAUGAUGAGAUCUAUGGGAAGCUGCUACCACGUUGGGGGUCCUCAGCCAAACAUCUGGGGAGGGUCAGCAGGGCCCAGAGUUGGGACAAAGAGGUGGACAUGCAACAGAAGAGAGUAAGUUCCAGCUGGAAACUAUUGGACACCUCUGUAUCCAUCUGUCACCACACUGAACAACAAAGUGACCAAAGUGACCGUUGACUCACUUCUGCCUCUUAAAUUUCAUGAGUUCCUCUUUUGGCCAACUAUACCUUGGAACCACACACAAUAUGUAAUUCUGAGAAAUAGAGCUCCAAGUUUAACCAAGAUGACACAGCACAAACCACCAAAAUCCACCCUUCGUCACCCUGGCAUGCAUAUACAUGUUUUUUUUUUAAAUCUACAUUGAAUUUUCAAAGAAAGAUAAUAGUGAAAUCAUGUGUCCAAUUAACGUAAUGUAGGUAUUCCUCAUAUAGCAGAAAAAUGCAAACCCUUUUCCCAAAAAAGGCUACUCAGAAGAUCGUAUGUAAACUUUGUCCCUUAUUGAAUGAUGUUCAUUCUCUUCUAGCUGAGUUAUACUGUGAUAGCCUUUCACUUAAACACUGAAAUAUAAAGCUAACUGCUAUUAAUACGUUCCAUGUCAGAUGGUAGGUAAAUUGGGAAAAGAAAAAUAAAGAUGUAUUGGUUAAUA